rnacentral:siRNA from 1 species
UCUCAUCCAAUUUGGACAAGUGUC